UGUCCUCAUAGCUCAGCUGGAUAGAGCGCAGAAUUCCUAAUUCUGAGGCCGUGAGUUCGAAUCUCGCUGGGGACAUUCU
rnacentral:tRNA from 1 species